rnacentral:rRNA from 1 species
GACAGAGGGUGCAAACGUUGUUCGGAAUUACUGGGCGUAAAGCGCGUGUAGGCGGCUCGGAAAGUCGGGUGUGAAAGCCCUGGGCUUAACCCAGGAAGUGCACUCGAAACUUCCGAGCUGGAGUCCUGGAGAGGAAGGCGGAAUUCUCGGUGUAGAGGUGAAAUUCGUAGAUAUCGAGAGGAACACCGGUGGCGAAGGCGGCCGUGUGGACAGUGACUGACGCUGAGACGCGAAAGCGGGGGGAGCAAACAGG